GAGACAUCAGCAGUCUCUGCUUCAGCAGGUGACAGGGAGAAACUGCAGAAGGAUCUUGCAAGUAAGCAGAAAAGUGGCAGACCAACUGCACUGUGGAUAGGAGUAAGGUAACACCUGCGAUGACAUACACGAUCUAGAAGACUGGCAAAGAGGAUCAACCCCAAGCCCCCCGUUACAACUUCAGGACUGGAGCCAGGAGUCAGCAUGGAGGCAGCUAGGGGAUUGCAAACCCUCAGAAGAAGAGGAGAGGGGGGCUAUUCCCUGGAGUCUGGGCCCAGAUGGGAAGUGGGUCUCUAAGGCCGCUUGUCUCCGAGGAGGAUGCAGACCCGGAACUGUACCGUCUUCAGAGCUCCUAGAUAGCUCCUCUUCAAUGCAGG